rnacentral:tRNA from 1 species
AAUGGAGUGCCUGAUUUAAAAGGGUUAUUUUGAUAGAAUAAAUUAUGUAAAAAUUUUUACCUUCAUUA